rnacentral:rRNA from 1 species
GCGGCAGCUUACCAUGCAGUCGAGCGGGGAAGGUAGCUUGCUACUGGACCUAGCGGCGGACGGGUGAGUAAUGCUUAGGAAUCUGCCUAUUAGUGGGGGACAACAUUCCGAAAGGAAUGCUAAUACCGCAUACGUCCUACGGGAGAAAGCAGGGGACCUUCGGGCCUUGCGCUAAUAGAUGAGCCUAAGUCGGAUUAGCUAGUUGGUGGGGUAAAGGCCUACCAAGGCGACGAUCUGUAGCGGGUCUGAGAGGAUGAUCCGCCACACUGGGACUGAGACACGGCCCAGACUCCUACGGGAGGCAGCAGUGGGGAAUAUUGGACAAUGGGGGGAACCCUGAUCCAGCCAUGCCGCGUGUGUGAAGAAGGCCUUAUGGUUGUAAAGCACUUUAAGCGAGGAGGAGGCUACUAGUAUUAAUACUACUGGAUAGUGGACGUUACUCGCAGAAUAAGCACCGGCUAACUCUGUGCCAGCAGCCGCGGUAA